GAAAUGCGAUAAGUAAUGUGAAUUGCAGAAUUCAGUGAAUCAUCGAAUCUUUGAACGCACAUUGCGCCCGCCAGUAUUCUGGCGGGCAUGCCUGUUCGAGCGUCAUUUCAACCAUCAAGCCCCGGGCUUGUGUUGGGGACCUGCGGCUGCCGCAGGCCCUGAAAACCAGUGGCGGGCUCGCUGUCACACCGAGCGUAGUAGAUUCUCAUCUCGCUCAGGGCGUGCUGCGGGUUCCGGCCGUAAAACAGCCUUAUUUUACCCAAGGUUGACCUCGGAUCAGGUAGGAAGACCCUCUGAACUUAAGC
rnacentral:misc_RNA from 1 species